UUGACCUCGGAUCAGGUAGGGAUACCCGCUGAACUUAAGCAUAUCAAUAAGCGGAGGAAAAGAAACCAACCGGGAUUGCCUCAGUAACGGCGAGUGAAGCGGCAAGAGCUCAAAUUUGAAAGCUGGCCCCUCCGGGGUCCGCAUUGUAAUUUGCAGAGGAUGCUUCGGGCGCAGCC
rnacentral:rRNA from 1 species